ACUCUUCUAGUAUACUCAUUAUAAUGGACUUCCAAUCCAUAGAAUCUGGACCAAACCCAGAGAAGAGUA
rnacentral:tRNA from 1 species